UACGGGGGGUGCGAGCGUUGUCCGGAAUCACUGGGCGUAAAGGGCGCGUAGGUGGUCUGAUAAGGGCGUGGUGAAAGUCCGGGGCUCAACCCCGGAUCUGCCGUGCCGACUGUCAGACUCGAGGACUGUAGAGGCAGGCGGAAUUCCGGGUGUAGGCGGUGGAAUGCGUAGAGAUCCGGAGGAAGACCGGUGGCGAAGGCGGCCUGCUGGGCAGUUCUGACACUGAGGCGCGACAGCGUGGGGAGCAAACAGG
rnacentral:rRNA from 1 species